rnacentral:rRNA from 1 species
ACGAACGCUGGCGGCGUGGAUAAGACAUGCAAGUCGAACGAGAGAAUUGCUAGCUUGCUAAUAAUUCUCUAGUGGCGCACGGGUGAGUAACACGUGAGUAACCUGCCCCCGAGAGCGGGAUAGCCCUGGGAAACUGGGAUUAAUACCGCAUAGAAUCGCAAGAUUAAAGCAGCAAUGCGCUUGUGGAUGGGCUCGCGGCCUAUUAGUUAGUUGGUGAGGUAACGGCUCACCAAGGCGAUGACGGGUAGCCGGUCUGAGAGGAUGUCCGGCCACACUGGAACUGAGACACGGUCCAGACACCUACGGGUGGCAGCAGUCGAGAAUCAUUCACAAUGGGGGAAACCCUGAUGGUGCGACGCCGCGUGGGGGAAUGAAGGUCUUCGGAUUGUAAACCCCUGUCAUGUGGGAGCAAAUUAAAAAGAUAGUACCACAAGAGGAAGAGACGGCUAACUCUGUGCCAGCAGCCGCGGUAAUACAGAGGUCUCAAGCGUUGUUCGGAAUCACUGGGCGUAAAGCGUGCGUAGGCUGUUUCGUAAGUCGUGUGUGAAAGGCGCGGGCUCAACCCGCGGACGGCACAUGAUACUGCGAGACUAGAGUAAUGGAGGGGGAACCGGAAUUCUCGGUGUAGCAGUGAAAUGCGUAGAUAUCGAGAGGAACACUCGUGGCGAAGGCGGGUUCCUGGACAUUAACUGACGCUGAGGCACGAAGGCCAGGGGAGCGAAAGGGAUUAGAUACCCCUGUAGUCCUGGCAGUAAACGGUGCACGCUUGGUGUGCGGGGAAUCGACCCCCUGCGUGCCGGAGCUAACGCGUUAAGCGUGCCGCCUGGGGAGUACGGUCGCAAGAUUAAAACUCAAAGAAAUUGACGGGGACCCGCACAAGCGGUGGAGCAUGUGGUUUAAUUCGAAGCAACGCGAAGAACCUUACCAAGUCUUGACAUCCUGCUGACCGUUCCUUAAUCGGAACUUUCCUUCGGGACAGCAGAGACAGGUGGUGCAUGGUUGUCGUCAGCUCGUGUCGUGAGAUGUUGGGUUAAGUCCCGCAACGAGCGCAACCCUUGCCAUUAGUUGCUACGAAAGGGCACUCUAAUGGGACUGCCGGUGACAAACCGGAGGAAGGUGGGGAUGACGUCAAAUCAUCAUGCCCCUUAUGAGCAGGGCUACACACGUGCUACAAUGGCGUAAACAAAGGGAGGCAGAACCGCGAGGUCGAGCAAAUCCCAAAAAUAACGUCUCAGUUCGGAUUGUAGUCUGCAACUCGACUACAUGAAGCUGGAAUCGCUAGUAAUCGCGAAUCAGAAUGUCGCGGUGAAUACGUUCCCGGGUCUUGUACACACCGCCCGUCACACCAUGGGAGUCAGUAACGCCCGAAGUCAGUGACCCAACCGUAAGGAGGGAGCUGCCGAAGGCGGGACCGAUAACUGGGGUG